rnacentral:rRNA from 1 species
UGGGGAAUAUUGCGCAAUGGGCGAAAGCCUGACGCAGCGACGCCGCGUGUGGGAGGAAGCCUUUCGGGGUGUAAACCACUGUCAGGAGGGAAGAAAGGCGUCUAGUCGAAUAAGCUAGGCGAUUGACGGUACCUCCACAGGAAGCGCCGGCUAACUACGUGCCAGCAGCCGCGGUAAUACGUAGGGUGCAGGCGUUAAUCGGAAUUACUGGGCGUAAAGCGUGCGCAGGCGGCUCCUUAAGUCAGAUGUGAAAGCCCCGGGCUUAACCUGGGAACUGCGUUUGAAACUGGGGAGCUAGAGUGUGGAAGAGGGGGGUGGAAUUCCAGGUGUAGCAGUGAAAUGCGUAGAGAUCUGGAGGAACACCGAUGGCGAAGGCAGCCCCCUGGUUGGAUACUGACGCUGAGACGCGAAAGCGUGGGGAGCAAACAGGAUUAGAUACCCUGGUAGUCCACGCCCUAAACGAUGUCAACUAGUUGUCGGGGAAGCAAUUCCUUGGUAACGAAGCUAACGCGUGAAGUUGACCGCCUGGGGAGUACGGCCGCAAGGUUA